GACGAACGCUGGCGGCGUGCCUAAUACAUGCAAGUAGAACGCUGAAGGAGGAGCUUGCUUCUCUGGAUGAGUUGCGAACGGGUGAGUAACGCGUAGGUAACCUGCCUGGUAGCGGGGGAUAACUAUUGGAAACGAUAGCUAAUACCGCAUAAUAGCAGUUGUUGCAUGACAACUGUUUGAAAGGUGCAAUUGCACCACUACCAGAUGGACCUGCGUUGUAUUAGCUAGUUGGUGGGGUAACGGCUCACCAAGGCGACGAUACAUAGCCGACCUGAGAGGGUGAUCGGCCACACUGGGACUGAGACACGGCCCAGACUCCUACGGGAGGCAGCAGUAGGGAAUCUUCGGCAAUGGACGGAAGUCUAACCGAGCAACGCCGCGUGAGUGAAGAAGGUUUUCGGAUCGUAAAGCUCUGUUGUAAGAGAAGAACGAGUGUGAGAGUGGAAAGUUCACACUGUGACGGUAUCUUACCAGAAAGGGACGGCUAACUACGUG
rnacentral:rRNA from 1 species